AGUGGACGCUGGCGGCGUGCUUAACACAUGCAAGUCGAACGAGAACGGAUUAUAGCUUGCUAUAAUUGUCAGCUAAGUGGCGCACGGGUGAGUAAUGUAUAGGUAAUAUGCCUCUUACUAAGGGAUAACAAAUGGAAACGUUUGCUAAUACCUUAUACUCCUUAUUAACAGAAGUUAAUAAGGGAAAGAUUUAUUGGUAAGAGAUUAGCCUGUAUUGUAUCAGUUAGUUGGUGGGGUAAUGGCUUACCAAGACUAUGACACAUAACUGGUUCGAGAGGAUGAUCAGUCACACUGGAACUGAGACACGGUCCAGACUCCUACGGGAGGCAGCAGUGGGGAAUAUUGCACAAUGGACGAAAGUCUGAUGCAGCAACGCCGCGUGGAGGAUGACACAUUUCGGUGCGUAAACUCCUUUUAUAUGAGAAGAUAAUGACGGUAUUAUAUGAAUAAGCACCGGCUAACUCCGUGCCAGCAGCCGCAGUAA
rnacentral:rRNA from 1 species